GCCAGUAUGGUGUAGUGGUUUGAAUGUCGGACUACAACUCUGGAGACCAGGGUUUGAGUCCCAGCUUGGCCA
rnacentral:tRNA from 1 species